AGAGUGGGGAGAUGGAGGCUGUGUUCAGGCCGGUCCAUGCUGGGUGACCCAUGUGACCUGCUGCUUAGCAAUUCCUUGUCACCAUCUUCCCUUCUCAGCCUCUUUUUUCAUGCUAACAGGCAUAAAUGAAAUGAUGAUAAAAGUUUGAGCUCUUCUCGUGGAAUUCUUGUGAUACCGAUAUGUGCUACAUGUUCAUCAUCUCGUUGGUCUUCACCAUGAUAACUGUGGAGUAAGAAUUAUAAGCAGGUCACAGAUUAGGGACUUGAGAUUGACAGUUUGGCUUCCCUGUUCUGGGUGGCAAAGCCUGUGGAGUACUCACCUACCUGCUGCAUGAAGGCAGCAUGGAGGGACUGUAGCGGAUUAUCUACAAAGAUGGCCAAAAUUCUCUCAUCCCUGCAGGCACAUACAAGGUUUCCAGAAGUUCCCCAGUCAUUGAGCAUUUCUGAGGCUCUUGAUGCAUAUGCCAAGUAGUUAUGGAGAAAGACACAGCAGCUUACCUCUGCAGGCAUCAUUGUGUGAAAGGAAGACCCAGGCUCUCUCACCACCCUUGAACAGAAGCCUUUUGCUAAGGUGAUAGCUACAUGUCCAAGCCUAUUGCGUGGCAUGCAUUUUGCCUUCUGCAGCCCACUAAAGGAGUUUGCAGUUCACCCGCAAACCUCAGCGAUCCAAGCUCCCCUGGAUGACCAUCACUCACCAAGAAAAGAACAAUAACAGGACCUGUUUUGCUAAUCCAGGACUGUUCUCCAGCACUAACUCUAAAUAAUCCCUUCUGCUAGAGUCCACUUUCUGGAACCUGUUUCAGUAAAUUGCAGAUGUAAGAUUCAAAACCAGACUUCACAUCUACCGACUUCAGUGACCCUGAAAUUUGUUCACAGAGAGCAUUUAACAUAACUGUCUUCAUCAUCUCCUUCUCUACAUUAAAAAUUAUGGGCAACAGAAAGAAACCGAGGGUCUGCUAUUUGUCUCCAGAGGCCUUACAAACUGGUAGAAGAUGCAUAACAGAAGAGCUUAUGAAGUUAAAGAUGACAGCAUAGCAGCACUGUUCGCAAAGACGUUAUUGGUGAUUCAAUCUUGAGUCAUGAAAAGUCAACCUGGAGCCACAAAAAGUCAACCUUGAGCCAAGCAGAGUGGAGAGUCAUACAUGCCAUUCCUGGGACCAUCAAAAAUGGCAGAGGUCACACAAAAGGCAAAACUUUUAAGAGGUGUUUCAAACGUCGUAUGGGCCAAAGAGAAGCUGGAUUUUCUAUUGGAGUCAGCUGUAACAUACGUGUGACGAAAUUGGCCUGUGAGGACAAGGCAGUGAGCAGAGAGGACAGCAGUCCUUAUGAGAACAAGCUCUAAGGUAUCCUAGAAACAUUUGGAGAAUUCACCUGAGCUACAGGAUGUGAAAAGUUGCUAAAACUGCUGUGAGAUUCUGGCUAAGAAAGUUUCAUGAGAAGUUUUACAAAAAAAUGUGAACGGAAGACAGAACUAGAUAUAAAUUUGAAUGUCUUGCUCUGUCACCCAGGCCUGGAGUGCAGUGGAGCAAUCUCAGCUCACUGUAGCCUCCGCCUCCCGGAUUCAAGUGAUUCUCCUGCUUCAGACUCUCGAGUAGCUGGGAUUACAGUUUUGAGAAGAAUGCAAAGAAGAAAGGAAGAGUGAGCCUCUCUUUUCCAUCGUUACCUUCCAUUGUCCUCUUGACACCCUGCUUUCGCAGACAAAGAGUUUGAGACCCUCUUCCAGGAGCCAAGGAGAGGGGAACAGCUGGCUUCACAUCAUCUUUCUAUUCAACAAGAUACAAAAAGCUGAAGCCAGGAUGAUAGAAAAGCAACAAAGAAGAUACGGUCCUUACUCAUUUCCCUUCCCGCUUCAGAGCAAAUAUGGUGCCUGGUGUUCGAAGGGAGAACUUGUGGGCAGAGCAGGAAGCGUGAGUAUGGUUGAAGGAUCAAAUAUUUGGUUCAGGCAUCAGGGAGCCAGCAAGACUAUGAUGCUGGGAAACGCAAGUGAUGUACUGUUGGAUUUAAUCUACUUGGAAAGAACCUAGGAAAACCAAAAUGUCAUCAACUAACACCUGAAAUGCCUCAGCACCAUCUGUCUCCAACAUUAAACAAAACCCACGAGAUUCCGGGAGAAAGAAAAUAGGAAAUUUAAUGAUGAACUUAACCUGAGUAACUUGAUAAAUAUUACCUUUGUGGCUAGCCAUUCACCAGCAAGUCCCUAAAAUGACCUGAAACCUGAAGAGUGUUUCACCCAUGAAAGGGUUUGCUCUCUCUGGGCAUGGCUACCCAGCACAUAUGUUAGUCAACUUUCUUUCCCUUGCAGGGCCCCUUGGAAAACUAGUUUGAAUCAUUCAUUAACUCAGCUCCACUCUUUCCCUUUCCCAUGGACCAUAUUUUCUUUGAGCAAUUAAAACUUAUAAGACA